rnacentral:lncRNA from 1 species
UCUGUUUUCUCCUCUCUCCUUUUCCACCCCAUGCACUAGAACAUGCAUUGCAUGUCUAAAUCCUGUCAGCAGAAAUGUAAAGAUGAUGGACAUCUUAAAUUGCAAUUAGUGACAACAGAACUUCCAGAGGAGGAUACCGAUGGCCACAUGGUAAUCAUAUUACUCAAUCUAUGUCAGAAGUUGAAUCAUUUGAAUCCAUAUUACAAACAAAAAAAAAAAGCAUCUCUUUAUAUUAUUUAGAAAUAUUAUG